AUACGGAGGAUGCGAGCGUUAUCCGGUUUUAUUGGGUUUAAAGGGAGCGUAGGCGGGAGCUUAAGUCAGCGGUUAAAUGGUGCGGCUCAACCGUGCCCUGCCGUUGAAACUGGGUUUCUUGAGAGCGCAAGAGGCGGGUGGAAUUCUGUGUGAAGGGGUGAAAUGCUUAGAUAUCAUGAAGAACUCCGAUUGCGAAGGCAGUCCGCUGGGGCACGUCUGACGCUGAUGCUCGAAGGUGCGGGAAUCAAACAGGAUUAGAUACCCUGGUAGUCCGCACGGUAAACGAUGAUUACCCGCUGUCGGCGGUAGACAAUCGGCGGCCAAGCGAAAGCGAUAAGUAAUCCACCUGGGGAGUACGCCGGCAACGGUGAAACUCAAAUGAAUUGACGGGG
rnacentral:rRNA from 1 species